GAUCAAAGGGGGCAGGGCCCUGCCAACAGCUUGGUGUUGCACUUCUUGAUUACCUGGGCUCUGGCAGCCUCUCUGGGUGAGUUUCUCAAUUAGAAUGAAAAAUCUCUAACAAUUCUUCACCCAGAUCCUCAUUUGUCUUUUUAGAACUGAAGCAAAAAUUGAACUCUCUGAGUUGGCUUAAUGGAGUUCAUCCAGGAGGCCGUGGGGCUGGUGGCUGCAGCUCGUGGGCUGAUGGGCACACGUGCUUUCCUCUCCAGUCAGAGAAGGGCUGAGCGGGCAGGCUGGAGCCCGCCGUG
rnacentral:lncRNA from 1 species